GUGUGCGUGCCUGAAAUGAAUGUGUACAACCAGAAACGCGUUCUGCAGUUCGUAACGGACCGACCGAGCAAACCUGUCUCGUACCAUGCUCGUAGGGGUCCCCUCAUUGAAGAGAAGGGGGUAUGGUGGGGCGCGGUUAGGCCUCCUUCCUUUAGAGAGGGAACGGGAAUAUCACGGGAGAACUUCUCUGUUCAACCAGGUUUCCAGCAGCCUAUCGAUCGGCUGCAACAACUGGCGGUGUGGCUUGCAAGGACUGAGCAUACCUGGGAGCGCUUGAGAAGCACGUCCCCCGAGACUCCCCCGAUCAAAAUCACUCGCCUAACCUCUCCCCUGCCCUCCUCGCCCUCCUCCGCAUCCUUCCCCUCCACGAACAUCGAGAAGGUCUCUCAUCGAAUCCACAGGAUCCGCCACGCGAUGGACGGCAUGGACACCAAACCGGUGUUGAACGAUGAUCCCUCGGUCACCCUGACCAUCCGCCUGAUUAUGCAGGGCAAAGAAGUCGGCAGUAUUAUCGGGAAAAAAGGCGAGAUCGUCAAGAGGUUCCGUGAGGAGUCUGGCGCGAAAAUCAAUAUCUCCGAUGGUUCCUGCCCGGAGCGAAUAGUGACGGUCACCGGGCCGACGAACUCGAUCUUCAAGGCGUUCACGUUGAUAUGCAAGAAAUUUGAGGAAUGGUGCUCCCAGUUUCACGACAUCCAGGGUGGCGGCGCCGGAGGCGGCGGUGGUGUCUCGAGGCCGCCUAUUACACUGAGACUGAUCGUACCUGCUUCGCAGUGCGGUUCCUUGAUCGGCAAGGGCGGCUCCAAGAUCAAGGAAAUCCGCGAAGUCACUGGCGCAUCUAUCCAAGUCGCUUCCGAGAUGCUGCCUAACUCGACAGAACGUGCAGUAACCAUAUCUGGUACCAGCGAAGCAAUCACGCAAUGCAUAUAUCAUAUCUGCUGCGUUAUGCUAGAGUCCCCUCCCAAAGGUGCCACGAUCCCUUAUCGCCCCAAACCCCAAGUCGGUGGGCCAGUGAUCCUGGCUGGUGGGCAAGCCUACACCAUCCAGGGUAAUUACGCGGUGCCCGCCCACUCGGACGUAAGUACAGUAUUACCAUUGCCCGCGCCCGCUGCCGGGCCCACCCCGCCCUCGCUGAACACCCAAACUUUGACGACCUCGCCCUUCGCGGCUCACCCCUCGUCCUCGGCCUUCGCCGCUUCUCACGGGCACCCGCUCCUAUCCACGGCCCACCUUACGACCCCACAUCAUCCUCUCCACCCGAGCCCCUUACACGCCAGCGUGGCAGGCCUCGCCGACCCCCUGCUGAAGAGUGGACACUUGCAGGCAGCCCUCCCGCCCGCACACCUCGUGGCAGACGCCAUGGGCAAGCUGGGCAGUAAUCCUUUGGCAGGACUGGCAGCCUUAGGUCUCGGAGGCCUUGCCACACCAGCGAACACAGGUGGUCUUAAUCCGGCAGCAUUGGCUGCAUUGGCCGGGAGCCAGCUGCGUACAAGCAACACGAACAGGCAGCAACCAGCGGCGAACAAUCAGACGCACGAGAUGACCGUGCCAAACGAGUUGAUCGGUUGCAUCAUCGGAAAGGGCGGUACCAAGAUCGCCGAGAUCCGUCAGAUCUCCGGCGCCAUGAUCAGAAUCAGCAACUGCGAGGAGAGGGAGGGCGGAGCAACGGACCGCACGAUCACCAUAACCGGGAAUCCGGAAGCCGUGGGGUUGGCACAAUAUCUCAUCAAUAUGAGUGUCGAAUUGCAGAAAGCUAACUUAGAGGCCCAAAAUACCCAAACCCCUGGCAGCGGUACCACUCCCGGGGCAUCCGGGGCCAGUGCUUCCCCCUCUACCACCACUACCACUGCCUCUCCCUUGGCCAGUGCCAUCCCCUUGGCUCAGCUGCUAAGCAAGCCAGGCGCCCUCAACGCCCUAUCUAGCCUCACUGCCCUCGGCGGACUCACGGAAUUGCUAGGUAGUGCUGCUGGCGCGGCUGCAUCCGCGCUACCGGUCCAGACCACUGGCGUGCACCGAUCACACAAGACUUUCACGCCGAGGCUACGUAGCCCCGGCGCACCGGGCCCGACCGAAAGUGGCAAGUUCAAAUCCGAGCGUACCAAGUAUAAUCCGUACUGAGCGAACGGACGAGCGGCAGCACGAUGUUACAGGGAAUACACUACACAUCACACACGUACAUCUGUAGCGAACACUUGUGUAACACUGAAGCAAAGUUGCGUACGGACGCCAGGGUAGCGAGUACGGAUCAAGACUUGGCGAAGGAUCGACUCGUCGUUUUUGUUAUUAGUUGAUUGUUGAGAUGGAAAAUGCGAAUAUAAUUGUCUAACUGGCGGAAGGAAGAAAAGAGCCAGAACGGAGAGUCCGUUUAGAAUCUUUAGCUUUAGAAUCUUUUGCUUUAUUAAUACCUGUCAAUCCGUAUGAUCCAAUGCUAAGUCUUAGAACCCACACAUACACUAUCGUGACACGCCCUCCGAGAUCGGGAUGAUCGAUGCUAUCGUGUAAAGACUGAUUGUGCGAGUAAUAAAGCGGUGGAAAAUUAUGUUAACGAUAAAUUCAGCUGACAUCCCUUACGACAUUCAGUUUUCUUUGAUAAUUUGCGUACUAUUUUGUAUAAGCGAUUUUUGAUAGGCUCGGAGGACGCGAUCGCUCAUGCACCGUCGCAAGACAGCCUUUUUUUUAUAAAAGUAUAUAUAAAUAUAUCAUUAUAUUAUAAUUAUUGUAAUUAUUAUAAUAUUAUAUGGAUUAUGAUUGAUUACUGUUCGAACAAGAACUUUUAUUAGUGUAGCUAUUCUGAUGUGAUUUUUUUCUCGUAAUAGAAUCGAUAGAAACUCUAUUAAUAAAAAGAAAUUUCGCGCGCGAGUGAAUGAGUAUGCGUGAUGAAGCAUAAAAAAAAAGGAAGGGAGAUGCGUGAAAGAAAUUAUCUUGAAUCAUGUGUUUAUCAUUCUUUAUAAUAAGUCGUGUUGAGAAUAUACUACGUCGUAAUCAUAUAAUGUGCUUUAAAAUGACUUACGAUCUUCUUUCUUAUGAAAAACAAUCUACAGCCGAGCGAUCGGGUAGUUUAUUAGAGCACGACGAGCGGGGUGAACUUUGUGAAGCAUUAUAUAAUCGAUCAUCGCUAUACGAAAUAAUCAAUCAAGCUAUACACACACAUAGUGAUCGUUGUAAAGGUAGUUACACGUAAUCCUUAUGCAUCUACGCGCGAGACACGCAGGGUUCUGUAUGAGCUCGCGCAAAUUAUGUUUUUUGUGAAAUCAAACUAAUAAAACACGUGCAGAAGACACAAUCAGAUUUCUAAUUCUACGGUAAAAUACGAUCGUUUUUUCUUCUUAGUCUACUGUUCUGUGAGCGAUCAGAAACGUGGAACCGAGAUCAUCUAGUCGCGGAAGAACAUACGAUCGAGAUUAGAUCUAAGCAAUUGCGACAGAAAGACAAAAUAGUUCGAGAUCAUGAUAAAUGAUUGAUAACGGAAUCCUCCAGAUAUAAGUGUUUGUGUGCUCAAUCUUAGUUUGUAGCGAGUAUUUGCAAGUAGUGACCGAUCAGACACACGAACGUAGGACAUACGAUCGGAUUGUCGAUCAAGUAUUGACCUAUCACGAGCGUGGCCAUGGUUUAUUGGAGAACUCGCAGUAAUCAGAAGAAGAUCAGGACAGCUAUUAUGUAUCUGUUCGAAAAUGUUUCCGAUCUCAACAAUUCCGUUCUUCUGUCAGUCCUAUUACAGACAUUCGGAUAAAUUCCGAAAUGAACGAAUAUUGACGUCAAAGCGGAAACUUCAAAGUUACAUUUAUAUUUUCAAUAAUUGAUGAAAAGUGAUUUAAAAAGAAUUUCAUGUUAGAAAGCUUGAACUUUCAUUAAAUUGUUCCAAUAUUGUAAAAAAUAUGAAAUGUAUUUCAUUGUUUUUUACUGUAUCAAGAGACACGGUCGUGUCUCGCAUCAAGUAUAUAUCUCUUUCAUAUACUGCAAAAAGUGAAUUCCGAUUUCGACGAGAUUUAUAAAUAGUUGAAAGACACGGACGGAAUCGCGAUCGGAAACUCGAGUUUCCGAUCGGAAUCGUAACAGUUAAAUAAUAGCUGUCCGGUUCUAUUUACAGAGAAAUCUAUACCGAUCGGAUCAACCUGAUCGCCCUGAUCGCGAGAUAUCUUCAUUGCGUUUUUCAUUUUAGAUUGUACGGUCUCGUUCCAUUUCUUUUUCGAGACAAUAAUAGUAAACUCACGGCCAAGACGCUAAGCGAUCACAGUGAAGAGGAUAAAAAAAGAGAAAAUUGCGAAGAAUCGAUAAUGCAUUAAAGUAUACGCAGGUCCCUUUUAUGUAGGUAUAUCAAGUGAAGCAAUGGGUAUAACAAUGACCCAUAUAAUGCGUCGUUAUAAUAAAUCGAGAAAUUGUUACGAAUACAGAAUGCGUUUAAACGCAUUACAAAAUCUUAUACAGCUGAUAUAAUUCAGCAAUUCAUUUUUUAAUUUAUUCUAUAAUGAUUGAAGAGAUGUUUCUUGUGGCAGCAAGAGAAAAUAGAAAAUUUCUUUAUUCAGAAUCUCUGAUUGAUUAAUUUGCCAUUGCUACACCUGAUGGUCUUGCAUCGUGCAUAGAAUCUUAUAGAUCAGAUAAUCUUGAACUGUACAUUGGUCUCUAUAACAAUGUUGCAGAGCUUAUAUGCUUAACAGACUUUAGCUACCCUGUAUCAUCUUGUUAAAUAAAGCUAGGCGUGUUUAAUACAAGUAAGAGAAAUACAAUACCAAAUAAAAAGAA
rnacentral:misc_RNA from 1 species